AGUCUAGCAUGUGCGCGAGUCAUUGGGACUCAAUAAACCUAAAGGCGCAAUGAAAGUGAAAGUCUGUUUACGCGGACUUAGGGAGGAUAGGUGCGUACACGUUGUUUACAACCUCGCACUCCCGGGGCGUCUCGCACUCAUUGCGAGGUGGGGCGCACCAAGAGCGUACACGCUGGGACCCGAAAGAUGGUGAACUAUGCCUGGUCAGGACGAAGUCAGGGGAAACCCUGAUGGAGGUCCGUAGCGAUUCUGACGUGCAAAUCGAUCGUCGGAACUGGGCUUAGGGGCGAAAGACUAAUCGAACCAUCUAGUAGCUGGUUCCCACCGAAGUUUCCCUCAGGAUAGCUGGCACUAGAUUAUGGAUGAGUCUCAUCCGGUAAAGCGAAUGAUUAGAGGCAUUGGGGUCGAAACGGCCUCAACCUAUUCUCAAACUUUAAAUGGGUGAGAUCUCCGGCUUGCUCGAUUUAUGAAGCCGGAGAUCGGAUCAAUUAGUGCCAAGUGGGCCACUUUUGGUAAGCAGAACUGGCGCUGUGGGAUGAACCAAACGCAGAGUUAAAGCGCCAAAAUCGACGCUUAUGGGAUACCAUGAAAGGCGUUGGUAACUUAAGACAGCANGACGGUGGCCAUGGAAGUC
rnacentral:rRNA from 1 species